rnacentral:rRNA from 1 species
CCUACGGGUGGCAGCAGUGAGGAAUAUUGGUCAAUGGCCGAGAGGCUGAACCAGCCAAGUCGCGUGAAGGAAGACGGCCCUACGGGUUGUAAACUUCUUUUGUCGAGGAGCAAAGUGAACCACGUGUGGCUUAUUGAGUGUACUUGAAGAAAAAGCAUCGGCUAACUCCGUGCCAGCAGCCGCGGUAAUACGGAGGAUGCGAGCGUUAUCCGGAUUUAUUGGGUUUAAAGGGUGCGCAGGCGGUGGUGUAAGUCAGCGGUAAAAUUUCGGGGCUCAACCCCGUACUGCCGUUGAAACUGGAUGCCUUGAGUACGCUAGAGGUAUGCGGAAUGCGUGGUGUAGCGGUGAAAUGCUUAGAUAUCACGCAGAACUCCGAUUGCGAAGGCAGCAUACCGGCGCGCAACUGACGCUGAUGCACGAAAGCGUGGGUAUCGAACAGGAUUAGAUACCCCUGUAGUC